rnacentral:lncRNA from 10 species
CUUUUAUGUGCACUGGAAACCCCAAAAAUUGUGGGACUUGCUUUAUUGCAGUGGUCUGAAACCAAACUCCAACAUCUCCAAGGUAUUCCUGUAUGGAGAAAAGCUUUGGCGAAACGCUGCCUGAAGAAGGAAACCUGGGGGAACAUGAAAAAAUAUAUAUCAAGAAUGGGCAGAGGAAGGAGGUCUGUGCAGAGAAGCAAGAUGGGAACAAGGAACACAAACAGACCAUGGUUUCCACCACAGCAGGGAUCUGGCUGUAUUCAUGACUGAGUUCCCAGAGCAAUGGCACCACCCUUAGGAGAUUCUGACUGAGUGAAUGAAAGAGGAAGGAUUGAAUUCAAGUGGAUCCGAGCAUGACCUUGCCAGCUCUGUGUGUUGGGAACUGAGCAUCAGAGGCAACAGAAGUUUCCCAGUGCAGAAAUGCUUUGCCAUGGUUGGGAGGUUCCUGUGAAGCUCAAUCUCAUCUUAAAAUCCUUUAGCACGGAUGAUAUUUGAGUAAUGACUCUGCCCCAGAGAAAGCUUAAGUGCCAGGAACAGGCUUUAAAAGUCUUUGCAUCGGCUGGGCGCGGUGGGUCACGCCUGUAAUCCCAGCACUUUGGGAGGCUGAGGUGGGCGGAUCACCUAAGGUCAGGAGUUUGAGACCAGCGUGGCCAACAUGGUGAAACCCCGUCUCUAUUAAAAAUACAAAAAUUAGCUGGGUGUGGUGGCGCAUGCCUGUAAUCCCAGCUACUCAGGGGGCUGAGGCAAGAGAAUCGCUUGAACCCGGGAGGCGGAGCUUGCAGGGAGCCGAGAUCAUACCACUGCACUCCAGCCUGGGUGACAGAGCGAGACUCUGUCUCAAAAAAAAAAAAAAAAAAAAGAAAAAAAAAGUCUCUGCAACACUCUCUCUUUUAUUCAACCAGCAGUUAGGAAAUGCUUCCUAAAUGUACAGGGUCUCUGCAAACUGGACACGGCACAAAAGGGGACCCUUAACAAAGAGGGUUCACACCCCAAAUUAACUCUACAUAACACUCCCCUUCAUCAAGUCAUGAUCUCGUGAUCUACAUGAUCUCUAUCAUUCUUUAUUUCUAUGACAUUUAUGAUGUGCAUAAUCAGUGAAAUGAAAAAAAGAAAGCAGCACAGAAAAAAUGAUAAGACUUAGAUAAUUUAUGCACUAGAUAGCCAGUUCUCAAGUCAUUGAGACAUGAUGGUUUUGGUACUCUAAUCCAUUUUGUGAGUAAGAGGACUCUAGACCCUUCCAGGUAAAAGUCCAGGCUCCUUAAUAGGGUAGGCAAACCUUGCCUCUCUCCAGCCUCAUCAGCCAACCUUGUCUCUACUCAGCACACACCUUUUCUUCCAGGUCCUUAGGUGUGUACUACUCCCCCAUAUGCUUUACACACACUGCUUGUUCUCUGUUUUGAAGGUGUCUACUAGUUCUUCGUAAUGCAUUUAAAGUGUUUUCUUUGCGUAGAUUUCCCAGAACUUCCCAACCAGAUUUUAUCCAUCCUUCCUUUGUGAAAAGCACUCUUUUAGGAACAGAGAGAAAAAGAGGCCACAUUGCUUUUUUUUCUUUAAAAAAAUUUUAAAAUUUAAAUGAUGAUAAAAUACACAUAACAUAAAAUUUAUAAUUUUAACAUAUUUAAGUGUACAGUUCAGUAGUGUUAUGUAUAUUCACAUUGUCAUGCACUCAAUUCCAGAACUUUUUCAUCUUGCAAAACUGAAACUCUGUAUUAAGUAAACAACUCUCCACUCCUUCCCCACAGCCCUUGGCAACCACCAUUCUAUUUUCUGUCUCUAUGAAUAAUCUGACUACAUUAGGUAUCACAUAUAAGUGGAAUUAUAUAGUAUUUGUCUUUUUGUAACUGGCUUAUUUCACUUAGCAUAAAGUCCUCAAGGUUCAUCUAUGUUGUAGCAUGUGUCAGAAUUUCUCUUAAGACUGAACAGUAUUCCACUGGUGUAUAUACAACACAUUUUGUUAUCUGUUGUUAGAGAUUUGGGCUGCUUCCACCUUUGAGCUAUUGUGCAUAAUGCUACUAUGAACAUUGAUAUACAAAUAUCUCUUUGAGACUAUGCUUUCAAUUCUUUUGGAUAUAUAUCCAGAAGUGAAAUUGCUGGAUCAAAUGGUAAUUCUAUUUUUAACUUUUGAGGAACCACCAUACUAUUUCUGUAGCAGCUGAACCAUUUUAUGUUCCCAC